GAUGAAAGCUCCGGCGGCAUAGGAUGGGCCUGCGGCGUAUCAGGUUGUAGGGGGUGUAAUGUACCCUCUAGCCCUCUACGCGUACGGGUGUUGGGAGACAUAGCCCGGAGAUGGAUUCUGAGACACGAAUCCAGACCCUACGGGGUGCAGCAGGCGCGAAAACUUGGCAAUGCGAGAAAUCGUGACCAGGGAACUCCAAGUGCAUCGGGUAAGACCGGUGCUUUUCUUGACUCUAAAUAGGUCUUGGAAUAAGGGGUGGGUAAGGACGGUGCCAGCCGCCGCGGUAAUACCGGCGCCUCAAGUGGUAGUCGCUUUUAUUGGGCCUAAAACGUCCGUAGCCGGUCUGAUACAUUCGUGGGUAAAUCAACCAGCUCAACUGGUUGAAUUCUGCGAGGACGGUCAGACUUGGGACCGGGAGAGGUGUGGGGUACGCUCAGGGUAGGGGUAAAAUCCUGUCAUCCUGAGCGGACCACCUGUUGCGAAGGCGCCACACUAGAACGGAUCCGACGGUCAGGGACGAAGCCUAGGGGCACGAACCGGAUUAGAUACCCGGGUAGUCCUAGGUGUAAACGCUGUGGACUUGAUGUUGGGGGUGCUCCGAGCACUCUCAGUGUCGAAGCGAAGGUGAUAAGUCCACUGCCUGGGAAGUACGGUCGCAAGGCUGAAACUUAAAGGAAUUGGCGGGGGAGCACCGCAACCUGAGGAUUGUGCGGUUUAAUUGGACUCAACGCCGGAA
rnacentral:rRNA from 1 species